rnacentral:lncRNA from 1 species
GACUGGUGUGCUGACCAAGCAGGUGUAUUUUGAGUCAUGAGGUCUAAUGUGAAGAAGGUUUGCAUAUUUCUUUAAAUGCUUCCCUUCUUGUACUUGAAAAUUUUUUGUUGGUCAGGUUCUGUGGUAAAGGAAACCACCGUGGAUCCAUAAAUUGUCCUCAUUCUGCUUUAGAUGGAAAGACUGUAUAUAUGGAACUGGUUGGACAAAGUACAUUUGAGGUUUAUGUCUGCACUGUUAUGUGGAGGCAUUUUACUUGGCAGAUUUGGACUUUUGAUUAUUAGUUUUUAGAAUGAUGACUUUGAAAGGGCUUCAUUUUGCAGAUGUCGGUUUAGAUAUUUUUGAAUUUGGUUUCAUUUGUGUGCUCUUAAAUAUCCAAUCAUAUGUGUAUCAUUGUGAUAUGUUUGGGAGCUGUGAUCUGAUAUGAAAAGUUCCUGUAGAUAUUUUUUACUACUAUGAUUUAAGUACAAAACUGCAACUUGUGUUUUCUGACAUUAUGCUUCAAUCAAGAUGUUUA